rnacentral:rRNA from 1 species
CCUACGGGAGGCAGCAGUGGGGAAUAUUGGGCAAUGGGCGCAAGCCUGACCCAGCAACGCCGCGUGAAGGAAGAAGGCUUUCGGGUUGUAAACUUCUUUUCUCAGGGACGAAGAAAGUGACGGUACCUGAGGAAUAAGCCACGGCUAACUACGUGCCAGCAGCCGCGGUAAUACGUAGGUGGCAAGCGUUAUCCGGAUUUAUGGGGGGUAAAGGGCGUUUAGGCGGGAGCGGAAGUCAGAUGUGAAAACUCAGGGCUCAACCCUGAGCCUGCAUGUGAAACUGUGGUUCGUGUGUGCUGGAGAGGCAAUCGGAAUUCCGUUUGUCGCUGUGCAAUGCGUAGCUAUCCGGCAGACCCCCAGU